UCGAGAAUAAUUCACAAUGGACGAAAGUCUGAUGGUGCAACGCCGUGUGGAGGAUGAAGGCCCUAGGGUCGUAAACUCCUGUCAUUUGAGAGUAAGACCUGGCGGUUAAUAGCCGACAGGGUUGAUAGUAUCAAAAGAGGAAGGGACGGCUAACUUCGUGCCAGCAGCCGCGGUAAUACGAAGGUCCCGAGCGUUGUUCGGAAUCACUGGGCGUAAAGGGAGCGUAGGCGGUUUGGUAAGUCAGAUGUGAAAUCUUGGGGCUCAACCCUGAAACUGCAUCCGAUACUGCCAAACUUGAGUAAUGGAGGGGUAACUGGAAUUCUCGGUGUAGCAGUGAAAUGCGUGGAUAUCGAGAGGAACACUCGUGGCGAAGGCGAGUUACUGGACAUUUACUGACGCUGAGGCUCGAAGGCCAGGGUAGCGAAAG
rnacentral:rRNA from 1 species